AAUUUUUCUUUUAUUUUAAUAAAUCAUUAAUUUACACGCAAUUAAUUUACGUAUGCUACAGCAUGCUGGAACAGCUCGAACAAUGUUUCUACCACGCAGGUGGUGCAGCUCCAGCCGCAGGUGCAGCAGGAGCAGCAGCAGGUGCAGCAGGAGCAGCAGCAGGUGCCGCAGGUGCAGGAGCAGCAGCAGGUGCCGCAGGUGCAGCUUCAGCAACAGGUGCAGCAGGAGCAGCAGCAGGUGCAGCAGCCGCUGGUAAUGGGAUUGUUCCAGAAAAAGUUCGACUACCCCAAGUCACAGUCCAUUUAAUUCCACCUCCCGAUUUAUUAUCGAAUGUUCCAGUAUAUGUUUUUCCUAACACCGAUCCCUCGAAU
rnacentral:lncRNA from 1 species